rnacentral:rRNA from 1 species
UAGGGAAUCUUCGGCAAUGGACGAAAGUCUGACCGAGCAACGCCGCGUGAGUGAAGAAGGUUUUCGGAUCGUAAAACUCUGUUGUUAGAGAAGAACAAGGACGUUAGUAACUGAACGUCCCCUGACGGUAUCUAACCAGAAAGCCACGGCUAACUACGUGCCAGCAGCCGCGGUAAUUCGUAGGUGGCAAGCGUUGUCCGGAUUUAUUGGGCGUAAAGCGAGCGCAGGCGGUUUCUUAAGUCUGAUGUGAAAGCCCCCGGCGCAACCGGGGAGGGUCAUUGGAAACUGGGAGAGUUGAGUGCAGAAGAGGAGAGUGGAAUUCCAUGUGUAGCGGUGAAAUGCGUAGAUAUAUGGAGGAACAGCAGUGGCGAAGGCGGCUCUCUGGUCUGUAACCGACGCUGAGGCUCGAAAGCGUGGGGAGCAAACAGG